rnacentral:rRNA from 1 species
UACGUAGGGGGCUAGCGUUGUCCGGAAUCAUUGGGCGUAAAGAGCGUGUAGGCGGCCCGGUAAGUCCGCUGUGAAAGUCGGGGGCUCAACCCUCGGAUGCCGGUGGAUACUGUCGGGCUAGAGUCCGGAAGAGGCGAGUGGAAUUCCUGGUGUAGCGGUGAAAUGCGCAGAUAUCUGGAGGAACACCAGUGGCGAAGGCGGCUUCCUGGCCUGUAACUGACGCUGAGACGCGAAAGCGUGGGGAGCGAACCGG